UACAGAGGUCUCAAGCGUUGUUCGGAUUCAUUGGGCGUAAAGGGUGCGUAGGCGGUCUAUUAAGUCAGUUGUGAAAUACGGCAGCUCAACUGUCGAGGUGCAAUUGAUACUGAUGGACUUGAGUACUGAUGAGGUAAGCGGAAUGGACGGUGUAGCGGUGAAAUGCUUAGAUAUCGUCCAGAACACCGAUAGCGAAGGCAGCUUACUAAGGAGUAACUGACGCUGAGGCACGAAAGUGUGGGGAUCAAACAGG
rnacentral:rRNA from 1 species